rnacentral:rRNA from 1 species
CCUACGGGGGGCAGCAGUAGGGAAUCUUUCACAAUGGGCGAAAGCCUGAUGGAGCAACGCCGCGUGCAGGAUGAAGGCCUUCGGGUUGUAAACUGCUUUUAUAAGCGAGAAAUAUGAUGGUAACUUAUGAAUAAGGAUCGGCUAACUACGUGCCAGCAGCCGCGGUCAUACGUAGGAUCCGAGCAUUAUCCGGAGUGACUGGGUGUAAAGAGUUGCGUAGGUGGCAUAAUAAGUAGCUAGUGAAAUCUGGUGGCUCAACCAUUCAGACUAUUAGCUAAACUGUUAAGCUCGAGACCGUUAGAGGUAACUGGAAUGUCUAGUGUAGGAGUGAAAUCCGUAGAUAUUAGAAGGAACACCAAUAGCGUAGGCAGGUUGCUGGGACGGUUCUGACACUAAGGCACGAAAGCGUAGGGAGCAAACGGGAUUAGAUACCCCGGUAGUC